rnacentral:lncRNA from 1 species
UUGGAUCCUCUUCUUUUUCGCACUCUUCUCCAAAACAGAUACUUCAUUUCCUACUAAAACGUUCAAUCCCUCGGCUUCCUUACUUUCUGAGCAUUGUCGCUUCUUAGACUCCUUCAUAGGUUCAACACUGGCGGUAUCCUGAUGCCCACAGUCCACAGCCUUUAGAACCGGCGAGGUGUGAUUGCUGCUCUCUUGGCUCCUCUUCUUUUUAGCACUCUUCUCCAAAACGGAUGCUUCAUUUCCUACUAAAACAUUCAAUCCCUCAGGUUCUCUGCCUUCUGAGCAUUGUCGCUUCUUAGACUCCUUCAUAGGCUCAACACUAGUAGUACCCUGAAGCCCAUGGCCCUCAGCCUCUAGAACCGGCGAGACGUGAUUGCUACCUUCUCCCUUCUCUAUCUUCUUCUUCUUCUUCUUCUUUUUCUUCCCACUCUUCUCCAAGACAGAUACUUCAUUCCUCGC